rnacentral:rRNA from 1 species
AUCGAUGAAGAACGCAGCGAAAUGCGAUAAGUAAUGUGAAUUGCAGAAUUCAGUGAAUCAUCGAAUCUUUGAACGCACCUUGCGCUCCUUGGUAUUCCGAGGAGCAUGCCUGUUUGAGUGUCAUUAAUAUAUCAACCUUCUCUUUUUUGAGUUGUUUGGAUGUGGGGGUUUGCUGGCCUCUUAAAUGAUUCAGCUCCCCUGAAAUGCAUUAGCAGAACAACCUGUUCAUUGGCGUGAUAAUUAUCUAUGCUAUUGAAUGUGAGGGGCAGUUCAGCUUUCUAACCGUCCUCGGACAAUUCAUCAUUAAUGUGACCUCAAAUCAGGUAGGACUACCCGCUGAACUUAAGCAUAUCAAUAAGCGGAGGAAAAGAAACUAACAAGGAUUCCCCUAGUAACUGCGAGUGAAGCGGGAAAAGCUCAAAUUUAAAAUCUGGCGGUCUUUUGGCUGUCCGAGUUGUAAUCUAGAGAAGUGUUAUCCGCGCUGGACCGUGUACAAGUCUCCUGGAAUGGAGCGUCAUAGAGGGUGAGAAUCCCGUCUUUGACACGGACUGCCAGGGCAUUGCGAUACGCUCUCAAAGAGUCGAGUUGUUUGGGAAUGCAGCUCAAAAUGGGUGGUAAAUUCCAUCUAAAGCUAAAUAUUGGGGAGAGACCGAUAGCGAACAAGUACCGUGAGGGAAAGAUGAAAAGAACUUUGGAAAGAGAGUUAAACAGUACGUGAAAUUGCUGAAAGGGAAACGCUUGAAGUCAGUCGCGUCGCUCAGGACUCAGCCUUGCUUUUGCUUGGUGUACUUCCUGUUCGAUGGGUCAGCAUCAAUUUUGGUCGGUGGAUAAAGGCUCAGAGAAUGUGGCAUCUUCGGGUGUGUUAUAGCUCUGGGUUGUAUACAUCGGCUGGGAUUGAGGAACUCAGCACGCCGCAAGGCCGGGUACUUGUACCACGUACGUGCUUAGGAUGCUGGCAUAAUGGCUUUAAUCGACCCGUCUUGAAACACGG